AGUGAUAUAGCUCAGUUGGUGGAGUGCCUGCCUCGCAUGCAUAACGCCCUGGGUUCAAUCCCCAGCACCAUCA
rfam:Ictidomys tridecemlineatus contig002746, whole genome shotgun sequence.